UCGUACCAAUAACCGCAUCUGYUCUCCAAGCUUAGCAGCCUCUGGUCAAUAGAAUAAUGUAGGUAAGGGAAGUCGGCAAAAUAGAUCCGUAACUUCGGAAAAAGGAUUGGCUCU
rnacentral:rRNA from 1 species